rnacentral:other from 1 species
UUCCCUGCGUAGUGCGUAUUGGACUGGAAUUUUAGAACCAACAAAUAAAAAAACGGGAGCCCAAAUCUCUAAAUAUGGCGUGUAUGCUUACCAUUAAGAGUAAGAAACCCAUGAAUAUUUAGGAAGGCACCCACCUGUAUAGAGCAGGUCCUUAAAAUUUCAUUCAGCUUACGGCUAAGGCGGGGGAU